rnacentral:miRNA from 1 species
AAAAUGCCCGGUUUACUUUACAUUUCAGAUAAACAACGAAUAACAUUUUAGUAUAAGUUUAUCCCAUAUGAUAUUUGGGACAUACUUAUACUAAAAAAUAUUUGCUGUUUAUCUGGAAUUCACAUUUAACUGGGGGUCCUG